rnacentral:rRNA from 1 species
GCAUGGAGGGCCCAUUAAAGAGAGCAAUUUUGGUUACAGACGAGCAUGCGCUCCAUUAGCCAGUUGGCGGGGUAACGGCCCACCAAGGCGACGAUGGAUAGGGGUUCUGAGAGGAAGGUCCCCCACAUUGGAACUGAGACACGGUCCAAACUCCUACGGGAGGCAGCAGUGAGGAAUAUUGGUCAAUGGUCGGCAGACUGAACCAGCCAAGUCGCGUGAGGGAAGACGGCCCUACGGGUUGUAAACCUCUUUUGUCGGAGAGUAAAGUACGCUACGCGUAGCGUAUUGCAAGUAUCCGAAGAAAAAGCAUCGGCUAACUCCGUGCCAGCAGCCGCGGUAAUACGGAGGAUGCGAGCGUUAUCCGGAUUUAUUGGGUUUAAAGGGUGCGUAGGCGGCACGCCAAGUCAGCGGUGAAAUUUCCGGGCUCAACCCGGAGUGUGCCGUUGAAACUGGCGAGCUAGAGUGCACAAGAGGCAGGCGGAAUGCGUGGUGUAGCGGUGAAAUGCAUAGAUAUCACGCAGAACCCCGAUUGCGAAGGCAGCCUGCUAGGGUGCGACAGACGCUGAGGCACGAAAGCGUGGGUAUCGAACAGGAUUAGAUACCCUGGUAGUCCACGCAGUAAACGAUGAAUACUAACUGUUUGCGAUACAAUGUAAGCGGUA